GGAUAAUCGGGAGAAAUUCCGUCUAAUACGGCAUAAUGCAUCGACGGGACAUCCUGUUGGUGCCAAAGGUUGAUUCCGGUGGCGGAUGGGCAUGCGUCGCAUUAGUUAGUUGGCGGUGUAACGGACCACCAAGACGACGAUGCGUAGGGGUUCUGAGAGGAAGGUCCCCCACACUGGUACUGAGACACGGACCAGACUCCUACGGGAGGCAGCAGUGAGGAAUAUUGGUCAAUGGGCGGGAGCCUGAACCAGCCAAGUCGCGUGAGGGAUGACGGUCCUAUGGGUUGUAAACCUCUUUUGCCGGGGAGCAAAGUGCCGCACGUGUGCGGUUUGGAGAGUACCCGGAGAAAAAGCAUCGGCUAACUCCGUGCCAGCAGCCGCGGUAAUACGGAGGAUGCGAGCGUUAUCCGGAUUUAUUGGGUUUAAAGGGUGCGUAGGCGGACGCUUAAGUCAGCGGUAAAAUUGCGGGGCUCAACCUCGUCGAGCCGUUGAAACUGGGUGCCUUGAGUGGGCGAGAAGUACGCGGAAUGCGUGGUGUAGCGGUGAAAUGCAUAGAUAUCACGCAGAACUCCGAUUGCGAAGGCAGCGUACCGGCGCCCUACUGACGCUGAAGCACGAAGGCGUGGGUAUCGAACAGGAUUAGAUACCCUGGUAGUCCACGCAGUAAACGAUGAAUGCUAGUUGUCCGGGGCGAUUGAGUUCUGGGU
rnacentral:rRNA from 1 species